rnacentral:rRNA from 1 species
UACGUAGGGGGCUAGCGUUGUCCGGAAUCAUUGGGCGUAAAGCGCGUGUAGGCGGUCCGGUAAGUCCGCUGAAAGUCGAGGGCUCAACCCUCGAAUGCCGGUGGAUACUGUCGGGCUUGAGUACGGGAGAGGCGAGUGGAAUUCCUGGUGUAGCGGUGAAAUGCGCAGAUAUCAGGAGGAACACCGAUUGCGAAGGCAGCUCGCUGGAACGUUACUGACGCUGAGGCACGAAGGCCAGGGGAGCAAACGGG